rnacentral:tRNA from 1 species
UCAGGAUAGCUCACUCCGGUAUAGCAAAGGACUGAAAAUUCUCGUGUCGCCAGUUCAAAUCUGGUUCCGG